UUUCCGUAGGUGAACCUGCGGAAGGAUCAUUAUUGGAUUUUGAAACUUCAGGCUGCUGCUGGCUCUCCUCGGAGGGCAUGUGCACGCUUGUUGUCCAUUAUUUCUCCCACUGUGCACAAGUUGUAGACCUUUCAGUAGGCCUAUGUUGUUUUUCACAAUCUCUGAAUGUAAUAGAAUGGUUUUGAAUCUUGGGAAAUACAAUACAACUUUCAGCAACGGAUCUCUUGGCUCUC
rnacentral:misc_RNA from 1 species